GAUGAACGCUGGCGGCGUGCCUAAUACAUGCAAGUCGAGCGAACAGACGAGGAGCUUGCUCCUCUGACGUUAGCGGCGGACGGGUGAGUAACACGUGGAUAACCUACCUAUAAGACUGGGAUAACUUCGGGAAACCGGAGCUAAUACCGGAUAAUAUAUUGAACCGCAUGGUUCAAUAGUGAAAGACGGUUUUGCUGUCACUUAUAGAUGGAUCCGCGCCGCAUUAGCUAGUUGGUAAGGUAACGGCUUACCAAGGCAACGAUGCGUAGCCGACCUGAGAGGGUGAUCAGCCACACUGGAACUGAGACACGGUCCAGACUCCUACGGGAGGCAGCAGUAGGGAAUCUUCCGCAAUGGGCGCAAGCCUGACGGAGCAACGCCGCGUGAGUGAUGAAGGUCUUCGGAUCGUAAAACUCUGUUAUUAGGGAAGAACAAAUGUGUAAGUAACUAUGCACGUCUUGACGGUACCUAAUCAGAAAGCCACGGCUAACUACGUG
rnacentral:rRNA from 1 species